CAACUACUCCCUCUGUCCCAAAUUUCUUGUCUUAGAUUUGUUUAGAUACGGAUGUAUCUAAUACUAAAAUGUGACUUGAUACAUCCGUAUCUAGACAAAUCUAAGAAAAGAAUUUUGGGACGGAGGGAGUACUUU
rnacentral:pre_miRNA from 1 species